AUACACCGAGGAGCUAAAGGAUUUGUCCGAGAUCUUCAGGGUAACCCAAUUGCGAAUGCCACCAUCUCUGUGGAAGGAAUAGACCAUGAUGUCACAUCUGCAAAGGAUGGUGAUUACUGGAGAUUGCUCGUUCCUGGAAA